rnacentral:rRNA from 1 species
GCGUCCCUACGGGAGGCAGCAGUGGGGAAUAUUGCACAAUGGGGGAAACCCUGAUGCAGCGACGCCGCGUGAGUGAAGAAGUAUUUCGGUAUGUAAAGCUCUAUCAGCAGGGAAGAAAGAAGACGGUACCUGACUAAGAAGCCCCGGCUAACUACGUGCCAGCAGCCGCGGUAAUACGGAGGAUGCGAGCGUUAUCCGGAUUUAUUGGGUUUAAAGGGUGCGCAGGCGGAGGUGCAAGUCAGCGGUCAAAUUGCGGGGCUCAACCCCGUACUGCCGUUGAAACUGCAUCCCUUGAGUGCGCGAGG